AUUGAACGCUGGCGGCAUGCCUUACACAUGCAAGACGAACGGUAACAGGUCUUCGGAUGCUGACGAGUGGCGAACGGGUGAGUAAUACAUCGGAACGUGCCCGAUCGUGGGGGAUAACGAAGCGAAAGCUUUGCUAAUACCGCAUAAGAUCUAUGGAUGAAAGCAGGGGACCGCAAGGCCUUGCGCGAACGGAGCGGCCGAUGGCAGAUUAGGUAGUUGGUGGGAUAAAAGCUUACCAAGCCGACGAUCUGUAGCUGGUCUGAGAGGACGACCAGCCACACUGGGACUGAGACACGGCCCAGAAUGCUACGGGAGGCAGCAGUGGGGAAUUUUGGACAAUGGGCGAAGGCCUGAUCCAGCCAUGCCGAGUGCAGGAUGAAGGCCUUCGGGUUGUAAACUGCUUUUGUACGGAACGAAAAGACUCUUUCUAAUAAAGAGGGUCCAUGACGGUACCGUACGAAUAAGCACCGGCUAACUACGUGCCAGCAGCCGCCGUAA
rnacentral:rRNA from 1 species